UACGUAGGGUGCAAGCGUUAAUCGGAAUUACUGGGCGUAAAGCGUGCGCGGGCGGUUUUGUAAGUCUGUCGUGAAAUCCCCGGGCUCAACCUGGGAAUGGCGAUGGAGACUGCAAGGCUGGAAUCUGGCAGAGGGGGGUAGAAUUCCACGUGUAGCAGUGAAAUGCGUAGAGAUGUGGAGGAACACCGAUGGCGAAGGCAGCCCCCUGGGCUAAGAUUGACGCUCAUGCACGAAAGCGUGGGGAGCAAACAGG
rnacentral:rRNA from 1 species